rnacentral:rRNA from 1 species
UCCUACGGGAGGCAGCAGUGGGGAAUUUUGGGCAAUGGGGGCAACCCUGAUCCAGCCAUGCCGCGUGCAGGAUGAAGGCCUUCGGGUUGUAAACUGCUUUUGUACGGAACGAAAAGACUCUGGUUAAUACCUGGGGUUCAUGACG